CCUACGGGUGGCAGCAGUGGGGAAUAUUGGACAAUGGGGGGAACCCUGAUCCAGCCAUGCCGCGUGUGUGAAGAAGGCCCUCGGGUUGUAAAGCACUUUCAGUGAGGAAGAACGCCUGGUGGUUAAUACCCAUCAGGAAAGACAUCACUCACAGAAGAAGCACCGGCUAACUCCGUGCCAGCAGCCGCGGUAAUACGGAGGGUGCGAGCGUUAAUCGGAAUUACUGGGCGUAAAGCGCGCGUAGGUGGCUUGAUAAGCCGGUUGUGAAAGCCCCGGGCUCAACCUGGGAACGGCCUCCGGAACUGUCAAGCUAGAGUGCAGGAGAGGAAGGUAGAAUUCCCGGUGUAGCGGUGAAAUGCGUAGAGAUCGGGAGGAAUACCAGUGGCGAAGGCGGCCUUCUGGACUGACACUGACACUGAGGUGCGAAAGCGUGGGUAGCAAACAGGAUUAGAUACCCCUGUAGUC
rnacentral:rRNA from 1 species